rnacentral:rRNA from 1 species
AUGGAGUAUCAGCCAAUCAUCUCUGCACUCGACGUUCGCACCGAGCCUAUCACCGUCGACGCGCUCUUCUCGAUGGUGGCAAACUUCGAUCAGCGUGUCGACAUGUUCCAUGGGAACGGCGCUGGUGGCUUUAAGUCAUCGGCGAACGCUGCUUCCAGGGGUCGCUCGGGCGGUGGCAAAGGCAGCUACCGCAACCAGAAG